rnacentral:rRNA from 1 species
UACGUAGGGUGCGAGCGUUGUCCGGAAUUAUUGGGCGUAAAGAGCUCGUAGGCGGUGUGUCACGUUGUUCGUGAAAACUCACAGCUCAACUGUGGGCGUGCGGGCGAUACGGGCAGACUGGAGUACUGCAGGGGAGACUGGAAUUCCUGGUGUAGCGGUGGAAUGCGCAGAUAUCAGGAGGAACACCGGUGGCGAAGGCGGGUCUCUGGGCAGUAACUGACGCUGAGGAGCGAAAGCGUGGGGAGCGAACAGG